UGCACACAGCGGUAUGUUGUGUUGUACAGAUCUCCGCCAAAAUACUAUUAAUUUUACGGACAAAAGUUGUGUUUUAUUAGCUGUACAUUGUAGAGAUAAGUUCCCGACGACAACAACUAGUGUUUGUGGUGACGUUAGAUGAUUGAAAUGUAUAAAGAGCAAGUUGCUGUAGGCUACAUGUUGCUAACUCUGUUAGCUUGGCGUUGUCGCUAACUUUGUUAGCUUAAUGUCGCCGUGGCUAAGCUAAUCCUUGUGUUAGUGUUUGAGCAGCAAGAUGAAUUUAUUUCAUGUCGUUUUAUGUCAGUGUUGCUGUAUUGCACUAUGCUGAGAGCCGGUGUGUAGAACUAUAUUUGUCCGUGUUUCUCAUCAGCAUUAAAUGUGGGUGGAGCUGGACAGUGGCUGUGUUAUUUCAACCACACAACGCAAGGGGAAAAGCAGCAUGAGCUCCAGAAGUUCCUGGGGAGUUGUUGUGAUGUACUGUGGGGUUUCAACAACCUCACUGCAGGUGACCAUGGAGUUCACAACCAUCAGGAGCAAAGGACACUUCAACAUGUGGACAGGAGGAGUCGGGGAUUGAACCAUCUGAUUGGACGACCACUCUACCCCCUGAGCCACAGCCACUCCGAUUCUUAUUUUCAUGCAAUUAUAUGCUAAGAAAAACAGCGUAUGCAAAUUAUAUUCCAUUUCUGUCAGGUCCCCGAUAUGGACUAAAAACCACUAAAUAUGAAAAACUGGACUUGGAUAUCAAACUGCUUUGAAGAUAUUCACAUCAGCUCCCCCCUAAAUUACACAGAAAUACAGUAUAUGAUAAGGCAUGUGCUUGUCUUGGAGAGAUGUUACAGAGAUGUUGUAUUUGGCCUUAUGUAUGUGUAACUGCCUGUUUAUUUAUUCUCAUUUCCAACACUGAUAACUGCUAAUGAUGAGAAAUGUGCUUAUAUUUUUUGUAGAUCAAGCAUUGGAACAAGGUUUACGGCUUGAACAGGCACCCAACGAGAGACAAGUCUACCAUUACUAAGUAUCAACUGCAAUAUAUAAGGCAAGAUAUUGGUCAAUGUUAUCCACUAUCCCUUACAUUAUGAUGGAGAUCAGCAAGUGUAGACAAAUCUUUAAAAACGCUGUGCAAAAAGGGCUAGUUACAACUCACAUGGGCCUCUCAAUUGGCUGACUUUUGACACACUUCUGCAAAUGGGUGUGGUGAUUUGUGUGAUUCUUUUUCACAUUUACAAUCUGAUUACACACACGAAUUAAGAUACAGACACAACUCUCCGCACAACUUUGUAAAUAAUUUUAAUACAAUAAUGAUAAUCACUUAUGUGACUGUUAUCCAGCAAAGCAUGUACCAGUGCUUUAAAGAAACCGUGAUGUGGUCAUUCCAUCCUAAGUUAGUCCUUUUCAUGGCUCAAGCAAUUUAAAUGAUUAUGCCAAUAAAUCAUGUCAGCUUUCAGACGAAAGAGGCCCUCCUGUCUUGCUCUGAGGUCCCAUUCCUUAACUCUGACUGGUGUUUAAAUAUGAAUGUUCUGAUGAUGUCAUGGAGCUAAUCCAUCUCGUUUGGAUGGAUUUUAAAUGCAUUUGUUUGAAACGGCGACGUUUGGCGUCUUAGCUUGGAGGAGAAUUUUUCUUCCCCAGUCUGCAGGGGCAUUUGGUUCAUAGUAAUUAACAGUGAUUAAAAAAUGAUCUUCUUUGGAGGUUGGGGUCAGAGUUCAGAACCCGGCUCAGUGGCGAGACACUCCUUUGUCAUGCAUCGUGACGUCUUUUGUGAAGUGGAGCACCAAUUUUGAAAAGGAAAUGUUUUGUCUGGGAUAUCUCCCACGCUCCCUGGUGAAGUGGACGCAACAAAAUGACAUGAAUACUGUAUAUAUAUGUAUAUAUAUUUUUUUUUACUAAGCCAUACAAAUAAAACUUCAGGUUACAGCCAAACCUUUGCAAACCAUGCUUUCAGAAAAUCUCAACAAUAAAAAAAAAAAAAAAUGCGACACUUUCUUGUGAACCUUA